UCAAACAAAAAGACUCAAAUACUCGUUAUUUGGAAAAGAGAUAUGUGUAAUAGAAAGUUUUACACUUCUUAACUUAAUCCUAUGAUUCCAGUCUUUUUGAAGAUAAAAAAAAAAUAGAAAUCCAAAAAAUAUUCUUAGUGUUUAUAAUGCCAAAAUUUCAAGUCGGCUCACUCGUCUUUUCUCUUGAUCCUUACCGGCCUCGUGAAUCUUCUAUUAUUUACUUCAUGUGUAAUAGAAAGUUUUACACUUCUUAACUUAAUCCUAUGAUUCCAGUCUUUUUUGAAGAUAAAAAAAAAAUAGAAAUCCAAAAAAUAUUCUUAGUGUUUAUAAUGCCAAAAUUUCAAGUCGGCUCCCUCGUCUUUUCUCUUGAUCCUUACCGGCCUCGUGAAUCUUCUAUUAUUUACUUCAUUUUUUUUGUAUUGUGUCUGUAAUAAGAUUUUACUGCUGUUUUUUUUUUUAUUAUUAUUAUUGAUAAGAAUUUUGUUGUUAAGACCCUAUAAGAAUCAAUUAAAAACCUGAGAUUCAUACCAGAACCACGAUGAUUUCCAAAAAAAACCUUUAAUCGAAGUCCAAGAAUUCCCUGAGUAAGAACUGCUGGAUCAUCACUUAUUCAUUUUCAAGAAAUAGAUAUAAUGAAAAAAAAAAAAUACAAAGAAAUGGAUAAGCGGCGGUAGUUUUAAAGAAUAAAAUUCCAUUUCGUUUUCUAAAUGAAUUCUUCUAAGUCUUUCAUUUUUUUCGUCCGGCUGCGAGGUCUAAAUAUAAAUAUUAAGUAUGAAUCAUAGUUCUAACACUUUAGAAUCUAUUUAUUUUCUAUAUUCCGUGCUCCAGAUACUAGAAUAAAUAUCUGACGGGGUAAAGUCAUCUAUCAAGAUAAGAUGACGUAUCCAUUUUAUGUUN
rnacentral:lncRNA from 1 species